AUGCCUGGUGCUUCUAGUUUGAUAGAUGAAGAAAUCCAGUCUUUGAGUAGCCAUGCAUCCUGCCCACACCUGCCCCACCAGCCACCAGCCGGCUGCAGAGCCUUUGAGCAGGGCCAGCUGCAGGCCUGGCAAGGGGAGGAGCCGACGGCAGCUGGAGAGUCCUUUCUGGGCCUCCUUCAGGGGCCGGCUCGCUUUACAGUGCAGGUGGAGGCUGGGGGCUCUGCCUGGCUCCUCUUGUUUUCCCCACCUGCCCGCAGUGCGGUUUGUCUGCUGGCGCCACAGAGGCGUUGGGGCUGGGGGAAUUUGAUAGGCAAGGAGGGGGAGGCUGUCUCCUCAAGAUGUGAGCACCGUCCAGUUCAUGCUUCCCUCCCUCCUCCCCUUGCCUUGCAGAAAUGCCCUUUGGGGCUGGCGGGGAGCAGGGAAGAGCUGAAGCUGGAGUGUCUGAAGGUUGCAAUAAAUAAGGGAAGCUACCCUGAGUGCACAGAUUGUCCUUCUGUACCUCUGCUGCCAUUAACCAUGGGAGACACAGGAGAGGGCAGAUCCCACACAGGUACCUAUGGACACCAGGCAUGGGACUCCCUCUCUGGAAGGUCAAGGGCAGCAGCCUCAGGGCUCAUCCCCCUAUCCCACAAGAGUCUCCCUGCCUCCCUAGCUGUGGAGGCUUCUGUUCUCCGCAUUUUCCUAUUAUCUCCCCCAAGCAGAGGGUGGGAGGCAAGGAACCUGGGUUGGGGACCCCAACAGGUCCCAAGCCUGCUUGUGUUGGCACUGAGCUCCCUUUCUAACCUCUCCCUGGGUGCCCAAACAAAUGUUAUCAGUGACUCAGAGAACUCCUGUCAAGGUGAGUCUGACCUGCCUGAUGCUGUCACUGCUGCCCGACGUGAGAACCAAUUCUGCUUCCUACCUCCUGCUAGCCCCAGCACCAUGCCUGGAUGCUGGGCAUCAGAUGAGCUAUCAGGAGAGCCUGUGUGCCAGGUGGAGACCACUCCAAGCCUUCUGCAUGAGGACUGCAGGUCUCUGAAGUUUCUGCUUUCCUGGCUGGUCUGUUCUGCAGUGUAA
rnacentral:lncRNA from 1 species